UACGUAGGGGGCAAGCGUUGUCCGGAAUCAUUGGGCGUAAAGAGCGUGUAGGCGGCCAGAAAAGUCCGCUGUGAAAACUCGAGGCUCAACUUCGAGCUGUCGGUGGAAACUUUCUGGCUAGAGUCCGGAAGAGGAGAAUGGAAUUCCUGGUGUAGCGGUGAAAUGACGCAGAUAUCAGGAAGAACACCCGUGGCGAAGGCGGUUCUCUGGGACGGUACUGACGCUGGAGAACGGCGAAAGCGUGGGGAGCGAACAGG
rnacentral:rRNA from 1 species